rnacentral:rRNA from 1 species
GACGAACGCUGGCGGCGUGCUUAACACAUGCAAGUCGAACGGAAAGGCCUGCUUUCCCUUGUGGAUUGCGGGUACUCGAGUGGCGAACGGGUGAGUAACACGUGAGUGAUCUGCCCCCAACUUGGGUAUAAGCCUGGGAAACUGGGUCUAAUUCCCGAUAGGACUGCAGGGUGGUGCCUGUGGUGGAAAACGAUUUUCUAGUGGUUGGGGAUGAGCUCGCGGCCUAUCAGCUUGUUGGUGGGGUAAUGGCCUACCAAGGCGGCGACGGGUAGCCGGCCUGAGAGGGUGGACGGCGACAUUGGGACUGAGAUACGGCCCAGACUCCUACGGGAGGCAGCAGUGGGGAAUAUUGCACAAUGGGCGGGAGCCUGAUGCAGCGACGCCGCGUGGGGGAUGACGGCCUUCGGGUUGUAAACUCCUUUCGACCGCGAGGAAGCCACCUGGUUGGAAGGGUGGUGACGGUAGUGGUAGAAGAAGCACCGGCUAACUACGUG